GGCGUGCUAAUACAUGCAAGUCGAGCGAACGGACGAGAAGCUUGCUUCUCUGAUGUUAGCGGCGGACGGGUGAGUAACACGUGGAUAACCUACCUAUAAGACUGGGAUAACUUCGGGAAACCGGAGCUAAUACCGGAUAAUAUUUUGAACCGCAUGGUUCAAAAGUGAAAGACGGUCUUGCUGUCACUUAUAGAUGGAUCCGCGCUGCAUUAGCUAGUUGGUAAGGUAACGGCUUACCAAGGCAACGAUGCAUAGCCGACCUGAGAGGGUGAUCGGCCACACUGGAACUGAGACACGGUCCAGACUCCUACGGGAGGCAGCAGUAGGGAAUCUUCCGCAAUGGGCGAAAGCCUGACGGAGCAACGCCGCGUGAGUGAUGAAGGUCUUCGGAUCGUAAAACUCUGUUAUUAGGGAAGAACAUAUGUGUAAGUAACUGUGCACAUCUUGACGGUACCUAAUCAGAAAGCCACGGCUAACUACGUGCCAGCAGCCGCGGUAAUACGUAGGUGGCAAGCGUUAUCCGGAAUUAUUGGGCGUAAAGCGCGCGUAGGCGGUUUUUUAAGUCUGAUGUGAAAGCCCACGGCUCAACCGUGGAGGGUCAUUGGAAACUGGAAAACUUGAGUGCAGAAGAGGAAAGUGGAAUUCCAUGUGUAGCGGUGAAAUGCGCAGAGAUAUGGAGGAACACCAGUGGCGAAGGCGACUUUCUGGUCUGUAACUGACGCUGAUGUGCGAAAGCGUGGGGAUCAAACAGGAUUAGAUACCCUGGUAGUCCACGCCGUAAACGAUGAGUGCUAAGUGUUAGGGGGUUUCCGCCCCUUAGUGCUGCAGCUAACGCAUUAAGCACUCCGCCUGGGGAGUACGACCGCAAGGUUGAAACUCAAAGGAAUUGACGGGGACCCGCACAAGCGGUGGAGCAUGUGGUUUAAUUCGAAGCAACGCGAAGAACCUUACCAAAUCUUGACAUCCUUUGACAACUCUAGAGAUAGAGCCUUCCCCUUCGGGGGACAAAGUGACAGGUGGUGCAUGGUUGUCGUCAGCUCGUGUCGUGAGAUGUUGGGUUAAGUCCCGCAACGAGCGCAACCCUUAAGCUUAGUUGCCAUCAUUAAGUUGGGCACUCUAAGUUGACUGCCGGUGACAAACCGGAGGAAGGUGGGGAUGACGUCAAAUCAUCAUGCCCCUUAUGAUUUGGGCUACACACGUGCUACAAUGGACAAUACAAAGGGCAGCGAAACCGCGAGGUCAAGCAAAUCCC
rnacentral:rRNA from 1 species